rnacentral:ncRNA from 1 species
UAAAAAUUUACGUUUUAAAAAAUUUAUUUUAAAUUUAUUUUACAUAUAAAUUUUAGUGUAAAGUUUUAAUUAUUUUAAUAAUAAUUAAUUAAUUAAAUUAGUAAUUAAUAUUAAAAAUUUAAGAAAUUAAGAUUUAGUAAUAUAAAAAUUAAUAACUAAUUUUGUGCCAGCAGUUGCGGUUAUACAAAAAUUAAAUUAAAUUAUUUCGAUUUAUAAUAAAUUAUGAAAAAAUUAAAUUAAAUAUUAAAUUAUUAAGUGAAAUUUUAAUUUAAUUAAAUUUUAUAUUUAAUUUAUGAAUUAGUAAAUUUUAAUAUAAACUAGGAUUAGAUACCCUAUUAUUAAAAAUUUAAUUAAAAAUAUCAAAAUAGUAAAUAAUUAUUUAUUGAAACUUAAAUAAUAUGGCGGUAUUUUAGUUCAUUUAGAGGAAUCUGUCUAAUAAUUGAUAAUCCACGAAUAAAUUUACUUAAUUUAUAAUUUUGUAUAUCAUUGUUAAAAAAAUAUUUUAAAAUAAAAAUAAUAUUUAAAUUUUAUGAUUAAAAAUUAAUUCAGAUCAAGAUGCAGAAUAUAAUUAAGAAUAUGAUGGAUUACAAUAAAUAUAUUUAUAUGAAUAGUAUUGUUGUAAGAUAUAUUUGAAGGUGGAUUUAAAUGUAAUUUUAUUUAAUUUAUUAAAAUGAUUAAAAAUUAAAAUAUGUACAUAUUGCCCGUCACUUUCAUUUGAAAAUUGAAAUAAGUCGUAACAAAGUAGAGGUACUGGAAAGUGUUUCUAGAAAGAA